UGGGGAAUAUUGGGCAAUGGGCGAAAGCCUGACCCAGCAACGCCGCGUGAAUGAUGAAGGCCUUCGGGUUGUAAAAUUCUUUGGACAGGGACGAAGAAAGUGACGGUACCUGUAGAACAAGCCACGGCUAACUACGUGCCAGCAGCCGCGGUAAUACGUAGGUGGCGAGCGUUAUCCGGAUUUACUGGGCGUAAAGGGCGUGUAGGCGGCUAGAUAAGUGUGAUGUUUAAAUCCAAGGCUUAACCUUGGGGUUCAUUACAAACUGUUUAGCUUGAGUGCUGGAGAGGAUAGUGGAAUUCCUAGUGUAGCGGUAAAAUGCGUAGAUAUUAGGCGGAACACCGGUGGCGAAGGCGGCUAUCUGGACAGUAACUGACGCUGAGGCGCGAAAGCGUGGGGAGCAAACAGG
rnacentral:rRNA from 1 species